rnacentral:lncRNA from 1 species
UUCUGGACAGGAGUACUCUUUAUUUAACAUAUCCUCCAAAAAAAUAAGAUGGAGAGUUUGAUGAAAUAAUUCUUUGGUUUAUGUAUAAUAAAUACCUAUACAUAAAUAACUAUGCAAUAAAAGCUGAGAGCACCCUGAGAGUUAACAUAAACAGAGGAGUAACUUACAUUUAGCUGGUACUAAAAAAACUUUAAAUUUACAACAGGUGGUACUGGUACAGAAAUAGAUCAGUAGAACAACAGAAAUUUCAGAAACAGACUUUUAUACAUGAUUCAUUAUGUGAUCAUAUCACUAGGGGAAAAUAAUCAAUGAAUAUAGGACAACUAGCUAAACCAUUUAACAACAAUAAAAGAGACUCUUCACUCUUUAUCCCCAGCAACCUCACUCCUAUCCUAAAAUAAAUUUCAGAUAGAUUGAAGGUUUAAAUGUUAAAAAAAAAAACCCAACUAUUUGUUACUUUGACAUUGGAAGAUCUUUCAAAGCAUGGCACCAGAAGCAAAAUACGUAAGGAAAAAGACUGAUAAUAAAUUUGUCUGCACAAAUUAAAAACUUUCACGUGGCAAAAUGUAACACAAACAAGGUUUUAAGAAAAGCAAAGUUAUCCUUUCUAAAACUGACAAGCUAUAAAAAUUGUUCACAAAACAUAUGGCAGGUAAUUAAAACUACAAUGAUAUAAGGCACUUUUUCUAAUCCAUAAAAGAAAAACAGGCCCAGUACAUUGCUGAUUUUUUUUAAAAGGCCAUUCACAAAGACAGUUAUGAAUGGCCAACCAGCAUGCAAAACUGUCAGAGAGAAGCAAACAAAAUAUUAAAACAUCAUUUUUUCUCCUACCAGAUUAAUCAAGAUGAAAAAUAUCAACAAUGCCCAGUGGUACUGAAGCUUUUGUGCUUUUUUUUUGGUACCAGGGGUUGAACUCGGGUCCUUGUGCUUGCGAGGUAGGCGGCAGAACCACUGAACUAAAUCCCCGGCCAAGUAUAUAUGGUUUUCAUUUCAACAACUUCACUUCUAGGAAUUUAACCUCAGUGGUAAUUGCAUAUAUUGACACAGACUUGAAUAUGGAUAGUGAACAUCUGGUAAUACUCUAAAUGUUACUAAAUUAGUUAUCACUAACUAAUUAUCAAUAAUGACUACCUUACAAAUGUAACUAACAUUUGUAAGGUAGUCAUUAUUGACAAGGAAAACAUAUCCAGGAAAUUUUGAUGAGUAAAAUCAUGUUACAAAAUGACACACAUAAUUUGACUUCAUUUGGCACCCUUUUUUAGGUGCCAAAAAAGUAUGGAUAUGGAGAUACA